GAAGGCUCAAGGUCAUUGGCCACAGAUAAAAUGAUGUCAAAUCACGAUAUAUCUACCAUAGCUUUGAUUGGACUGAUCAUGUCAACAUCAUACUUUCAAAAUCUUAGCUAGCAAGCUAGACAAGCAAUCUUCAUCAUGAAUCAAGUCGACAAUCUACUAGCAAAUCCUUUUCAAGCCUUGUCUGGACUUGGAGACUUUGAAGAGACCCUGGUGGCAUGUCUUGUGGGCAGCCUGUGCUGGUGAAAGAAAAAUAAUCACCAUGUCAAUGUCACUGGGCUACAGAGUCUGCCUCCAACAUAGCAACUAGCUGCUGGUUGGCUGCCAGUUAGUGAGCUCUCGCCAUUUCAUUGGUGGACCAGGCUGAUGUGGAAUGGGAGAGGCAGACGGAGACAGAGGGAAGAGGGCCGUCAUUGGCUGUGGAAACCUGAAGGAGAAUAGCUCAAUUGCCAACGCCUGAGAGCAGGUUUGAUGGUGUAUUUUAGGUGUGACUAUAAAGGUAAUUCAUUCUCCAGCCCUCCUUGCUCAGAAGUUUUUUCUAAGGAUGGAUGGUGAUAGUAAGACAGAAAUGGAUGGCAUAGAUGAAAUGGUGGCAGGUAGCCUAGUGGUUAAGAGCGUUGGGCCAGUAACCAACUCCCUGAGUUGGCCCUUGAGCAAGGCACUUAAACCGAAUUGCUCAGGAUAAGAGUGUGUGCUAAAUUUAAAAAAAAUUAAUAUAUACUGAACAAAAUAUUAGGGCGACACUGGUCCCAUGUUUUAUGUGGUGAAAUAAAAUAUCCUAGAAAUUUUCCACAUGCAAAAAAAUCGUAUUUCCAUCAAAUUUUGUGCACAAAUUUGUUUACAUCCCUGUUAUUAUUUAUCCUUUGCCAAGAUAAUCCAUCCACCUGACAGGUGUGGCAUAUCAAGAAUCUGAUUAAACAGCAUGAUCAUUACACAGGUGCACCUUAUGCUGGGAACAAUAAAAGGCCACUCUAAAAUUCUGCAGUUUUGUCACACAACACAAUGCCACAGAUGUCUCACGUUUUGAGGGAGCAUGCAGUUGGCAUGCUGACUGCAGGAAUGUCCACCAGAGCUGUUGCCAGAGAAUGUAAUGCUAAUUUCUCUACCAUAAGAUGCCUUUGGCUGCACGUCUAACCGGCCUCACAGUCCACGUGUAACCACUCCAGCCUAAGACCUCCACAUCCUGCUUCUUCACCUGCGAGAUUGUCUGAGACCAGUCACCCGGACAGCUGAUGAAACUGAGGAGUAUUUCUGUCUGUAAUAAACCCCUUUUGUGGGGAAAACUCACAAAAGCUGCGCCCCUGCCCAGUCAUGUGAAAUCCAUAGAAUAGGGCCUAAUUUAUUUAUUUCAAUUGAAUGAUUUUUUUGUAUGAACUGUAACUCAGUAAAAGUAUUGAAAUUGUUGCAUGUUGCAUUUAUAUUUUUGUUCAGUAUAUAAAACAGUAUGAAUAUCAAUGGAAGAAUGUACAUCUGCAAAUAUUACC
ensembl:lncRNA